GGCUAGGAUGUAAUAAUCUUCUAUUCUAAAGGGACCGAGACCCUACUAGAUGUUUGGGCUAGGAUGUAAUAAUCUUCUAUUCUAAAGGGACCGAGACCCUACUAGAUGUUUGGGCUAGGAUGUAAUAAUCUUCUAUGUUAAAGGAACGUCCAAAAUAUGUAAAACAAAUAAAAUAAUCAAUUAUAAAAAAUCCUUUUGCAUUUAUCAGUUAGAUCUAUAUUUUCCUACUGUGCUACAAUGUACAUUAUAAUUUGGUCUUUUUUGUCAUCACUUUUAAUUAAAAUUGUGUAUGUAGUGAUAAAACUCUUUAAGGUAAAUAUUUUAACUAUAAUUUAGCUUUACAUUAUAUUUCAGUUUUAUGAAGUGAUAUUUAGAAUUUUAUGACUAUUUAAUUUGUAUGUUUGUAAGGUUUCUUGUUUUGUCUUCACCAUUACCAGCUUUAAGCUUUCUUUUUGUUAUUGGCAUUCAAAAGAAUAUGUUUUAUUGUAUUAAUUUUAUUCUCAUCAGCAUAGUAUCUGUAAAAAAGUGUUUGUUAAAUGCUCUUCAAACCCUGGAUCAGUGGUUACAUAUAUUAUGCAAAUUAAUUAUAUAUGACCAUAACAUCUUAGUAUUGUGUAGACCAGGAAUGAAAGGAUAGUAGCUAUUCAGUUAAGCAUCUUGCUGAUUUGUUACUCUUGACUAUUGGCUUAUAUUUGUGUGGGUUCUGUCAGGAUCCCAGCUGUCAACAUAAUGUCUUGCCAGUCUUUUGUUUUAAUAGAUUUUUCAGGUAGAAGGUUUCUUUGUUUGUUUUGUUUUCUUUUUAGUAUACUGGUCAUAUGACACUCAUGUAGACUUAUAGACCAGGUACAGGUCACUUUGAUCUCAUGCCUCAUUCUUUUCUUGGUGUCAUUGAGAACAAAGUUGACAGAGCUUGAACUAUUGUGUUGAAUAAUUCUGAUGUUAAUAAGCAAACAUGUGUAUACCUUUUAUUUAACAAAAUAUUUGAUUACUUAUAAAAGUGUUUUUUUUUAAUGAGAAUCAUGCUUCAUUUAUGAAUUAAGGAUGCCAUUGGAUAAAAAGAAAAAGGGACAUAACAAUGUUUUAUUCUUGUACAAACUCUUGUUAAUGUCAUUGUUUCAUGAGCUUGGGAGACUUCAGCUUUAAUUCAUUGAAUAAGUUUUUUGCAUUGUAUUUUUGUAUGUAAUGAAAAUUUCAUAUUUUUGUAAUGCUUGAAAAAAAUAUCUCCACUUAACUCAUGCUAUUAUAAUUGAUUUCACAGAGUUUUUUUGUUUUUUUUAUAUAGCUAAAUCUAUUUCAUUCUAUUAAUAUGUGAAUCUUAAAUGCCAAAGAUAGGAUAUAGCAUCUCCUCCAUUCACUUAAGCUUAGCCCAUUGAAUCUAUGAAAUAUUAUUCAGAAAUAACUUUAUUCCGACAGUUGUUUGGAUUACAUUGUGAACUUUGUAUGAUCUAUUGCAUCUCAACAUUCAGGAUAUAUAAUUUAGAGAUGUCCCAUACACUCAAUUAUAGUGCAUUGUAAUUAGAAAAUUUUAUUUCUGAAACAUCCCUAGAACAGCAUUCAGUCAUCACGUAUGUUAAGUCUUUAAAAAGGAACAAGUCUUCUUCUUUAUUUAAAAAAUUUUGUCCAAUUAAACUUAAUAUAAGCCUGGAAAUAAUAGUCAU